GGUGGCUCAGUGGUAGAGUGCUUGCCUUGCAUGCAUAAGACCCUGGGUUCGAUUCCUCAGCACCU
rnacentral:tRNA from 1 species